ensembl:lncRNA
UGAAGAGAGAGAAAUAAAACAUCCGGCAUGGAUUUAGACUAUAGAGCUGUAAAAGCUGCAUAGUAAAGAGAAAAAAAAUUUUUUUUUAAAAUAAUAUAAAAAAUAAAUAAAUAUAUAUUUAAUAAAAUAUUUUACAAUUUUCAAAAUGAUAUUUUAUUUUAAUGUUUAUUUUAUUUGGUAAAUUUAUAAUAUACAGGUGCAUCUCAAUAAAUUAGAAUGUCGUGGAAAAGUUCAUUCAAAUUGUGAAACUUGUGUAUAAAAUAAAUUCAAUACACACAGACUGAAGUAGUUUAAGUCUUUGGUUCUUUUAAUUGUGAUGAUUUUGGCUCACAUUUAACAAAAACCCACCAAUUCACUAUCUCAACAAAUUACAAUAUGGUGACAUGCCAAUCAGCUAAUCAACUCAAAACACCUGCAAAGGUUUCCUGAGUCUUCAAAAUGGUCUCUCAGUUUGGUUCUCUAGGCUACACAAUCAUGGGGAAGACUGCUGUUAUGACAGUUGUCCAGAAGACAAUCAUUGACACCCUUCACAAGGAGGGUAAAGACUAAUUUAUACUUCUGUGUCGGACCUACGCCGUAGCCUUUACGCCGUAGGCUGUGCGUCAGCUUUCAUUUCUCCUUGUGCGUCGUUGUCCGCGUCGACGUGCAGUACACAUGCAAACCAUUAGUCUCCAGUGUCCACGGGCAUGUUACUGGUGUAACCUGCAGUACCACGACAAAAGCUGAAGAAGAAGCGGCUUGUCAGAAAAGCAUUAUAGCCGUGACGGCGGCAAAUAAAUAUCAAAUCAUUAUUUAGAACUAUAAAAAGGAGACAACAGCGGAACAAGAGAAGAUGACAUUCUUUCAAUCUCCACAAGGACUUGUAUCAAGGCAGAUCAACAUUGUUAGACGCGGACAACUAGUGAUGUAUAAUGCUGUGUAGUAUAAUAAAUGAUAAUAGGACAAAUGGAAGAAUACGUUUUGACACAUCCGGUUUAAACAGCUUUUGUGUCUGUACAGACUUGAGAAGGAUCUCAGAAUCAAGUAAGUGGUCUAUUAAUGGCGUCCCAGAUCACAUCAGAGGUUUAUUCGUUUGUUCCGACCAUUUUGUUUUAUAAUCAAGGCACAGUAAUGAAGAGUUCACAGAGAAACAUUUGUUGAAAGAUGAAGCAGCUAUAGCUAUAUAGAUCUCACAGCUGCAUCACAGACCGUAAGUAAAUGAUUUAAUAAUGCUUGCUUUGUAAAUGAUAAAGUUCUCCUUCGAGCAUUCACCCCCAGCACCCCCACAGCUAUGUGCCCUUCCUCAGCCUCUACAAGAGGUGCAAAUAGUAUCUGCCACUAUUUGCAGUAAGUACAAAUAGCAUCUAGCUACUAUUUACAAAGUGCAAAGAAGAUACUGCUGUUCUCACUUAGUGCAAAUAUCAUCUAUCGCAUGCAGUGCAAAGACCUCUGCUAUAAAAAAAAAUUAAAAAUGUCACGUCAUGUCAUGGCCCAUUUAAAUAAUUGCAUUUGCAACAUGUAUUUAUUCAGAUUUCUUAGACAAUGAUAACAGUGAUGCUUUAUCAAUUUCUUCUCUGCUAAACAAACACAAACAUUAUUUUGUUUUCUUUUGGUUGUGUUUUCAUUCUCUGACAUGUUUGUGUUUUUGGGUGUGGCUGGAGGAGAUGAUUGUUAGUUUUCCUCGUCUCCACCCUUUCCACAGCCCAACUAUUGUUUUACAGAGACUUUAGAGAUGACUGUGUACUUGUGAAUUCACAUUAUUUAUGUUAUGAAAGAAAUAUCUUGAUAUGAAGGAUUAUACGUGCAGAAAAAGACCGAUUGUUGUGCAUUAAGCCAAAUGAAACAAAGGAAAGCGCCUUCUUAGACAUUUUUGGCACAAUAAUGUUGAUGGACUUGAUUAUCUUGUUUGUCCCGCCUGCUUUAGACACCCAUGAUGAGCCUUGAAUCUCCUCCUUAGGAGGAAGCAAGUGGGUGAAAUUCAUGAAAGCAGGUCAAGGAAACAUUUGACCUCAAAAGAAAGAACAUACAGAAUUUUACAUGUAAUUAUACAUG